UUCACAGAAUCACAGAAUGGGUAAUGUUGGAAGGGACCACAGUGGGGUCAUCUGGUCCAACCUCCCUGCUCAAGCAGGGUAAAAUUUUGUAUUAUCCCAGAAUGUGAGUGAAAUUUCUCAGGUCAAAAAUGUACUUUGCUUGAAUCAGGUAAUAAUGGAGAGAAGAUUACUUUCAGUCUCUCUUUUUUCCCUUUGCUUUUACACCUGUAAGAGCUUUAUAUUAUGUAGAAAUCAGCUGGCCCCACCAAAGCAAGCUGGGGAACAGUUUCAGAGCAUAGCGAGUUAGUUGGUGAUAUCUGAUGUCUUUGUAAAUGACCUGUGAUAGGAGCUGAAGCUUACGCUUAUCAAACCUGCCACUAUUGCACUAACAGGGAUUAUGAGGAGUAGAGGAUAAAGUAUAUUGAAGAGUUUAGAAAAUUGGACCAAAUUCAAACAAAUAAAUUGUAGACUGUAAUUGUAGAUAAAUGCAAUUGCGUACGAGUGUAUUUGUUUCUGAAACAAAUGUGCCAGACAGCAGUGUGCUGAUUUGCAACAUGCAUGAGGACACUUAAGAGCAAUACACAAAAAAACAGAGCAGAAGAUCUAGUUUAAUAGCAAAAGAAGUGAACAUUACUUAUAUUAAAUUAGGCAGUGUACUAAAAACGACAGAGGUUCCGUGUUUAAUGUCCUAUUUGCAGUCAAAAAAGAUUUCCUACAUCAGGAUUUUAAUACCUGGUCACGUUUCUGUGCUGCUUCUCUAAAAUAAAUGGCGCUCAAUCUUCCUACUGCUUUAUAGGUUUAUUUGAGCAGUGGUAUAGCCAACAUGGCUGGGAUAUGAAAAUUGAAAUAUUUAAAUUAAUAUCCACCAGUGAAUACUAUGGUCUGCCUUUCAUUGUACAAGGCUCCUUCAACAUAGCAAUGAAACAUUUAUCCUUUUGGAUUUUCAUGCUAAACUUAUACAUGGCAAAGGAGAUGGCCUUGAAUUUUUGCUUCUUCAGCAUCAUUCAGUUUAAUGAAUGUACAGCAUCAUGGAAUUUCUGAGGCAUGGAAGAGUUUUUUUAAAUGGACUUUGCAUCAGAAAACUUCAGACUGUUAUCAGCACAUUUCAAACUUCUGGGAAGACAGAACUUUAAAAUUUUGGUUUUAAAACCUACAUGGGCUCCAAGAACAGGAAGAAUUUAAGGAUCAACUGGAAAGUAACCUGCAUGUGUCUUCAAGAGUAAACUUUGUCGUUUGCAUAAUUGAGCACUGCACAAAUUGAAGGGGCUGAUAUUCUACGAAGACUCAGAAAUCAUGAUGAUUCCUCUCCGGAGAAUGACACCUGGGUAUAUAAGGUUGUUGCAGACUCAAGCUGCAGCAAAAAUUGUUAUCAACCCAUCAGACACAGCACUGCAACGGGCGGCGUUCCUCCUGGGAGUGUUUGGGAUCAGUAUAUCCAGCUACAGCACACACCAGCUAACUCAAACAAAGAGAUUUCCCUUGACCCCUUAAGCUGUGUUGGGAUGUGACCCAAGAAGUCCAAGCUUAUGACAGCCACUGCUGAUGAGUGGCUUUUCUGCCUCAGUUACCAGUGUGGAGGUAAUGAGACACUUUGCAGUCGUGACUUCUACAUGCAAAGUUAAAAAGAUGGAAGAAUUCCAGACAUCUUCAAGAAAGAAAAAAAUGCUAUCAGAAUAAUCAGAUUUCCAAAUAACAAAAACUGUCUGUAAAUACAAUGGACUUCUUUUGUUAUCCAGUGUAUACACAGAGAGAGACCUAAAGGUAUAAAAAUGCAGUUACAUUCGGAGUAGGUGUAAACAGGUUGAUGGGGGUGCUGUGCUUCAGGAGAAUUGCACUGCAUUGCAGCUUUUGCAAAUUGACUCUGAUGCAAAGACUGGUUUUGAAAAGAAGUUAAAGGCAACGUAUUCCUCUAACAGAGUUAGAACAAAUGAAAGUAAUCUCCCAUUGACUCUUUUCACUAUUCUAUCUAACUAGAUAUGUACAUUUGUGUGUAUUUCAGAAUUUGUGCAUUCUAGCCUUUUUUAUUGAAUCCUAAACAUUUCUUGAUGCCUUUUGAGUAGCAAUGUCUGUGUAUUGUAACACAAGCUGGUGGUCUUCUGCCACAGCAGAGAAGGCCACAGGCUACACCAGCCAUAUGGUGCUGGGAAAGGCCCGUGGCUCCAGACCAGAUAACUUCAUG